GCCCUGCCUCUGGCCCUUCCCGGGCCGCUGCCCCCUCAGCCAUGUGGCACUUCUUAGCUCCUGACCUAGACCAAGGAGUGGUCUCUGCCCCCUUCCCUGGCCCUGGGCUACCCUUGGGUCCUGCUCCUCAGGCAGCUCCCCUGUCCCUGGCCCUGGGGAGGAGGCUGCCCUGGUCAUGGCCACCUGCCUGUCAUUCCUGACUCACCACCAUCCCCAGGUGUACCAUUCCUGCCUUCUCCUCAGCCGCUGUUGAAGGCUUUAACUUUGCAUACUUUGGG
rnacentral:lncRNA from 1 species